GACGAACGCUGGCGGCGUGCUUAACACAUGCAAGUCGAACGAGAAUCUACUGAAAGAGUUUUCGGACAAUGGAUGUAGAGGAAAGUGGCGGACGGGUGAGUAACGCGUGAGGAACCUGCCUUGAAGAGGGGGACAACAGUUGGAAACGACUGCUAAUACCGCAUGAAGCAUAGGGGUCGCAUGAUCUUUAUGCCAAAGAUUUAUCGCUUCAAGAUGGCCUCGCGUCUGAUUAGCUGGUUGGCGGGGUAACGGCCCACCAAGGCGACGAUCAGUAGCCGGACUGAGAGGUUGAACGGCCACAUUGGGACUGAGAUACGGCCCAGACUCCUACGGGAGGCAGCAGUGGGGAAUAUUGGGUAAUGGGCGCAAGUCUGACCCAGCAACGCCGCGUGAAGGAAGAAGGCUUUCGGGUUGUAAACUUCUUUUAAGAGGGAAGAGCAGAAGACGGUACCUCUAGAAUAAGCCACGGCUAACUACGUGCCAGCCGCCGCGGUAA
rnacentral:rRNA from 1 species